UCAGUGUUCCCACCAGCUAUGAAAAAAAAUUAAGAUUGUGUUUAUAUCUUAAAUCCAGAGGGUAAACUACAAAUUGAAAGACUCCACCAAUCACCUCCCAGAAAAUCUCCCAGGAAUAUCUUGGAAAAAUUCUAGAGAUCCCAGGUCAGAGAGGAAAUACUUCAAACAACCAUCAAGAAAUAAUUCAAAUAUCAUGGUGCCAUUUUCACAUUUAAGGAGAAGAAGGCAUGGAAUAUGAUAUAUCAGAAGACAAAGAAGUGGUACACAAGAGAAGAGACUGAGGACAUGAACUCCAGACUAUAGUAACUCCUCAAAGUGAAUGGAGUCUUGUCAUCAAGGUAGUCCUCAGGCUGAACUCAUCAGCCAAACACCUGUACUUUUGAGCCAGGGAAGAGACAAGAUACUGGAGAAGACCAAGAUGAUCUCUACGAAAUUACUUUAAAAAUACUAUUAUAUGAUGCCUCAAAAUGAAUUCUGGAGCAGCACAACCUAUGGAAUGACAGGAAUAAUAAACUGGAGGAAUUCCAUGGAGUCCAACAACCUCCAGGAAGUGAUGCAGAGCGAAAGGAGCAGAACCAGGAAAACAUUGUACACAGAGACUAAUACACUGUGGUACAUUAGAAGGUAAUGGACUUUUCCAUUAUGGUCAAUGCAAUGUCCCUGAACAACUUGCAGGGAACUAAAAAACAGUAUCCACAAG
rnacentral:lncRNA from 1 species